UACGGAGGGGGCCAGCGUUGUUCGGAAUUAUUGGGCGUAAAGGGUGCGUAGGCGGCGCGGUAAGUCGGAUGUGAAAUCUCGGAGCUUAACUCCGAAACUGCAUUCGAUACUGCCGUGCUUGAGGACUGGAGAGGAGACUGGAAUUUACGGUGUAGCGGUGAAAUGCGUAGAUAUCGUAAGGAAGACCAGUGGCGAAGGCGGGUCUCUGGACAGUUCCUGACGCUGAGGCACGAAGGUCAGGGGAGCAAACGGG
rnacentral:rRNA from 1 species